rnacentral:rRNA from 1 species
UACAGAGGUCCCGAGCGUUGUUCGGAUUUAUUGGGCGUAAAGGGUGCGUAGGCGGCGGAGUAAGUUGGGUGUGAAAUCUCGGAGCUUAACUUCGAAACUGCAUUCGAUACUGCCGUGCUUGAGGACUGGAGAGGAGACUGGAAUUUACGGUGUAGCGGUGAAAUGCGUAGAUAUCGUAAGGAAGACCAGUGGCGAAGGCGGGUCUCUGGACAGUUCCUGACGCUGAGGCACGAAGGUCAGGGGAGCAAACGGG